AAAAAGGAUGAUAAAACCACCGGUUUACUAACACCACCUGUGAACGAUGUAAGCAAGCCGCCAAAUGUUUUAGAACCUGCAUCUACAAAACCACUUCCAGCCUCUGAUACGUCAGCUACAAACACAACCAAAUCUAAAGGCAAAGCAAUAAGACAUAGAAAACCAUCUCAUAAAAGACCAAGAUAUAGGCAUAAAGGGUCAAAAGACCACAAGAGAUCGAAGACCAGGUUACCAAAAGGACCAGAGGAUUUAAGACACAGAAGACCAAAAUAUCAACACCAUAAAUUGCACAAAAAACCUAUACAUCGUGUUCCAAAACACAUCAAACCUAUUAAUAGACACAAACGCAUAAACAGAAGACAUGAUGAUGAUUAUUAUUAGACUGCUCAGUGGUCAGCAGGUCAUUCUACUCCAGUCCAUCAAAAGUCAUGGGAUUAUGACGUUAUAUCCAAAAUAAUAAAGUUCAAGAUGUAAUAAGGAAAAACAGAAAACGAUAGGUCGGCCUGCUGGCCACCGUAGUUGACGGAAAUAUGAGUUAAUUAAUUUCUGCAAUCGACUUUGGCUGCGUUAGUCUAAUCAAUAGUAGCCUAUAUAAUUAUUACAGUCCAUAAUCUAUCUCCAUGCCAAUUGAUUAUGAAUCAGUAGUUUUUUAAGUGAAAGAGUAUGAUAUUAUAUGCAUACAUUUUUAAAACUUUCGCAUUUAUAAUAUUGAUAGGAAUUAGUAUUGUAACAUUAAU